rnacentral:rRNA from 1 species
GGGUCAGUAGGUUGGUCGUGCCACCGGUACGUACUGGUCUCACUGAUUCCUCCUUCCCGAAGAACCGUAAUGCCAUUAAUUUGGUGUUGCGGGGAAACAGGACUGUUAUUUUGAAAAAAUUAGAGUGUUUAAAGCAAGCUAACGCUUGAAUACAUUAGCAUGGAAUAAUGAAAUAGGACGAUCGAUCCUAUUUUGUUGGUUUCUAGGAUUGACGUA